rnacentral:rRNA from 1 species
GUGGGCAAGUGUGUAAGGGCGCAUGGUGGAUGCCUUGGCAUCAGGAGCCGAUGAAGGACGUGGGAGCCUGCGUUAAGCCUCGGGGAGUUGGCAACCGAACGUUGAUCCGAGGGUGUCCGAAUGGGGGAACCCGGCCGUCGUCAUGGGCGGUCACCCGCACCUGAAUGUAUAGGGUGUGUGGAGGGAACGUGGGGAAGUGAAACAUCUCAGUACCCACAGGAAGAGAAAACAACAUGUGAUUCCGUGAGUAGUGGCGAGCGAAAGCGGAUGAGGCUAAACCUGCAUCGUGUGAUACCUGGUAGGGGUUGCGGUGUGGGGGUUGUGGGAGUGUUCUGGAGCCGGCUACCACCGGUUCGGGGAGUGAGAAAGUCGUGGUGUAGCCGAAGGGCCUGGGAUGGUCCGGCGUAGUGGGUGAGACCCCCGUAGGUGAAACAUUGCGGCCUCCUUGGGAGCAUGUCCCGAGUAGCACGGGGCUCGUGGAAUCUCGUGUGAAUCUGCCAGGACCACCUGGUAAGCCUAAAUACUUCCUGAUGACCGAUAGCGGACAAGUACCGUGAGGGAAUGGUGAAAAGCACCCCGGGAGGGGAGUGAAAUAGUACCUGAAACCGUGUGCCUACAAUCCGUCGGAGCUGGAGUUUACUCUGGUGACGGCGUGCCUUUUGAAGAAUGAGCCUGCGAGUUAGUGGUGCGUGGCGAGGUUAACCCGUGGGGGGUAGCCGUAGCGAAAGCGAGUCCGAAUAGGGCGUUUGUAGUCGCGUGCUCUAGACCCGAAGCGGAGUGAUCUACCCAUGGCCAGGUUGAAGCGUGGGUAAGACCGCGUGGAGGACCGAACCCACCAGGGUUGAAAACCUGGGGGAUGAGCUGUGGGUAGGGGUGAAAGGCCAAUCAAACUCCGUGAUAGCUGGUUCUCCCCGAAAUGCAUUUAGGUGCAGCGUCGCGUGUUUCUUGCUGGAGGUAGAGCUACUGGAUGGCCGAUGGGCCCCACCGGGUUACUGACGUCAGCCAAACUCCGAAUGCCGGUAAGUGAGAGCGUGGCAGUGAGACUGCGGGGGAUAAGCUUCGUAGUCGAGAGGGAAACAGCCCAGAUCAUCAGCUAAGGCCCCUAAGCGUGUGCUAAGUGGGAAAGGAUGUGGAGUUGCGCAGACAACCAGGAGGUUGGCUUAGAAGCAGCCACCCUUGAAAGAGUGCGUAAUAGCUCACUGGUCAAGUGAUUCCGCGCCGACAAUGUAGCGGGGCUCAAGUACACCGCCGAAGCUGUGGCACUCACAUAUUAACCCCAUCAACUACCCGCUGUUCUUCGGAGCGGUGGGCACCGUUGGUGCAGGUGUGUGGGUGGGUAGGGGAGCGUCGUGUGUGGGGUGAAGCCGCCUGGUGAUGGUGUGGUGGACUGCACGCGAGUGAGAAUGCAGGCAUGAGUAGCGAAUGACGGGUGAGAACCCCGUCCGCCGAUUGACCAAGGGUUCCAGGGCCAGGUUCAUCCGCCCUGGGUAAGUCGGGACCUAAGGCGAGGCCGACAGGCGUAGUCGAUGGACAACGGGUUGAUAUUCCCGUACCGGUGUAGAACCGUCCAUGGCGAGGCCGGGGAUGCUGAGCACCCAAAGCCGCAUGAGCCUUCGGGUUUGUGUUGGUGGAGCGUGUGACCCGAUCCGGUAGUAGUCAAGCGUGUUAACAGGGGUGACGCAGGAGGGUAGCUUCCGCGUGGCGAUGGUUGUCCACGUCCAAGGGUGUAGGACGAGGGGUUGGCAAAUCCGCUCCUCUUGCUUUGAUGCUGAGUCUGAGACCUGAUGGUGACCCCGUAGGGGGGAAGUAGGGUGAUCCCAUGCUGCCUAGAAAAGCCUCGGCGCGAGGUUCGAGCCGCCCGUACCCUAAACCGACUCAGGUGGUCAGGUAGAGAAUACCGAGGCGUGCGAGUGAAUCGUGGUUAAGGAACUCGGCAAAAUGCCCCCGUAACUUCGGGAGAAGGGGGGCCUGAGGCGUGAAGCUCCUUGCGGGCUAGCGUUUGAGGGCCGCAGAGACCAGGGGGAAGCGACUGUUUACUAAAAACACAGGUCCGUGCGAAGUCGCAAGACGAUGUAUACGGACUGACGCCUGCCCGGUGCUGGAACGUUAAGGGGACCGGUUACCCGCGCUUGUCGUGGGGACGCUGAGAACUUAAGCGCCAGUAAACGGCGGUGGUAACUAUAACCAUCCUAAGGUAGCGAAAUUCCUUGUCGGGUAAGUUCCGACCUGCACGAAUGGCGUAACGACUUCCCUGCUGUCUCAACCGCGAACUCGGCGAAAUUGCACUACGAGUAAAGAUGCUCGUUACGCGCAGCAGGACGGAAAGACCCCGGGACCUUCACUAUAGCUUGGUAUUGGUGUUCGGGACGGCUUGUGUAGGAUAGGUGGGAGACUGUGAAGCUGGCACGCUAGUGUUGGUGGAGUCGUCGUUGAAAUACCACUCUGGUCGUUCUGGAUGUCUAACUUCGGUCCGUGAUCCGGAUCAGGGACAGUGCCUGGUGGGUAGUUUAACUGGGGCGGUUGCCUCCUAAAGAGUAACGGAGGCGCCCAAAGGUUCCCUCAGCCUGGUUGGCAAUCAGGUGUUGAGUGUAAGUGCACAAGGGAGCUUGACUGUGAGACCGACAGGUCGAGCAGGGACGAAAGUCGGGACUAGUGAUCCGGCCGUGGAGUGUGGAAUCGCGGUCGCUCAACGGAUAAAAGGUACCCCGGGGAUAACAGGCUGAUCUUGCCCAAGAGUCCAUAUCGACGGCAUGGUUUGGCACCUCGAUGUCGGCUCGUCGCAUCCUGGGGCUGGAGUAGGUCCCAAGGGUUGGGCUGUUCGCCCAUUAAAGCGGUACGCGAGCUGGGUUUAGAACGUCGUGAGACAGUUCGGUCCCUAUCCGCUGCGCGCGUUGGAAACUUGAGAAGGGCUGUCCCUAGUACGAGAGGACCGGGACGGACGAACCUCUGGUGUGCCAGUUGUUCUGCCAAGGGCAUGGCUGGUUGGCUACGUUCGGAAGGGAUAACCGCUGAAGGCAUCUAAGCGGGAAGCCUGCUUCGAGAUGAGGUUUCCGUGCCCCUUGUGGGGUGGGAGGCUCCCUGGAGAUGACGGGGUUGAUAGGCCGGGUGUGGAAGCAACGACGAGAGAGUUGUGGAGCUGACCGGUACUAAUAGGCCGAUCACUUGUCUAC